rnacentral:lncRNA from 1 species
CUUUGGGGAAGGGUAACCAUGGCCUCUCUCCCGCCGCGGCCGGCCUGCGGGGGCCCGCCGUCUCUGUGGAGGCUCGGCGCUGUCGAGCAGCUGCCAUUACUCGGGCCAAGCUCCGUCCUCCAAGCAGACACCCCCCACCCCAGCGAAGAAAUCGGAGAGGCGGGGGGCUGUGUGAGAAACGAAAGGGGGUGGAAGUGGAGAGGAAAGCAGUCGCCCCGCGUGGGAAAAUGGGCUGCUUAUCUGGCCCUGAUACAUGCAAAUUCCUCCCAUCGUGAAGUCCAACUUGGAGAAAUUCUGGGCAUUGAAAAGAAAAUACCAGGCUUGAGAGUGGGACACAGAGUAGAGAACCCCUGACAGUAUCUACUGCUCCAUGAAGCUAAGGAAUGAUUGCAUGCCACCCAGAGAUGCUGUUCUUGCAGGCUUGACCUGGUGAGGAUUGAAGUAGACACCGCAGCACCCAGGAUCCUUCCUCCUUUUUAUCUUUCUUCUUGCUAUGUCCCUGGCUGUGCAGAUUGUCUAUCUGGUGCUGGCUAGCCACAAUGCUCAGAGGAGCUUGCUGAGGAAAUCUGUGAUUCUGGGGCUCCAGAAAAUAAGGGUAUAAAUAAAAAGCUGGAUGGAAAAGUAUCAGCAGAAUUUAUGAAGACAUUCUGGGGCGUUUGUUGAAGAUAGUACAUCUUUGGGAGGUGAUUUUUUUUUGUCUGACUGUCUGUGGCCAGUGCUCACAUGUGUGAGUAGCUUGUGGGUGUAAUAACCAGUAAUAACAAAAACAGAAAAGCCUGACAAAUAUAGAUGUGGAUUAAGAUACAAAAUGCAUCUUUUUUUUUUCUCACUGUAUUCUCUUUACAUUUUCAUGCACAACUGGGAAUAGAGGUUUAUCCUAAAAAAAGUUUACCUGUGAGUAAACUGACAUAUGUUUAUGACAUAUGACAUGACAUGUGUUUAUGCCAGCAUUAUGCUUCAUGAAAACUGUAUGCUUGGUUCAGCACAGAGUCUGCCAAAGGAAACUUAGCUCCAUAUUUUUUAACUAAUUCAAAACAACAGAGUGAAUUUGUACCAGUUUCAUACUUUGUGUCAUCUGGCUACUGUAUUUUCAGUACAAGAGCAGAUGCCACAACAUGUAACAUAAAAGAAAGCUUUAACAUCCACUUCCAAGUGUACAUCAAAUCUCACAGGUUUGUCCAGUUCUGGUGUAAUGUAUAAAAAAAUUUAUAUCUAUCCAAAAUGAAUACACAAAACUUGAAUUUUAUGUCAGACUGAAAUAGGAUCUAUUGUUAUUUUAUGAGGAUGCAGUGACUGGAAAUGUAUAAUUUACCAGAAAACCAACUAUGACUAUGAGGAAAUAGGCAGUAUCUUUUGAUGCUAACAUAAUUAAAAAAAUAGAGCUUUUACAUAAGGAGAUAAUAUGAAUGUCAGAAUUGCAGGGAAAUAUUAAUUACAUUGUGCAUCAUAUUAAAUGACAGCAUAGUCAAUAAUAAGAAAAAAAUAACCUAAGUGGAGUCUGUCAUCCCAAGACAGUGAAAAUACAUGGAUAAAUAAGGUUUUGCAUUAGGAGCUGCAGAGAUGUCCAAACAUCUUUGUACCAAAUCAGUUCUCAUGACACACUGGGCUUGAGCUGAUUUGGUCCAGCACUGGCUUUGAGCUAAUUAUUGCAGGAAUACUGUCUCUACCCCAUGCUUCAAAGCCUUCCAUGUUCAAAGUUGGCUUGUUAGCUCCAAUACAGUGCUGGACCCAGGCUGCUUCCAUGCAUUCAUGUGACAUUUCUCUAGGAUUAAAAAGCCCUUCCAGUAAACAGACUUCUGUUGUCUAUAGAGCAGAGAUAUCCAAAUGUUUCUGAAAGAGAUAAUGUGCUAUCACUAGUACUUAACUGAAGCUAAUAAGCCUUGUUGGACCCUAGCUGAUCAUAUGCAGAGAUACCCAGCUGUGGCUCUGUACAGCUUUUUCCCAAGCACCAGUUUCCAGGACACAGUGUUUUGCAUGGCAUUAGCUCCAGUCUCACACAGCUUAUUAUGCCAGUUGUGAUGCUACGCAAAAGAGGCAAUUUUGUUUCUGGAGCAGAGCUGCUCUCAAAUCUAGCACAUUGCUGGAGCUGAAGAUCCCUACCAGAUUGAAUCUGGCCUGGCAUGAGGCCAUCUUAAUGUGCUUGCAGAUUUGAUGUAUCCUGAUGUCAUCUGCAGCUUGAAUAAACCUCCUAGAGAUACCAAUGAUUGGCUGUCCAGGAUAGGAAUAAUUAAUAGCAACACUUGUGUUAGUUUUUAACCAUUAUAGUAAAGAUGAAAGCUAAUGUAGGUACAAAAAAACCCCAAACCAAACAGAAGCACAUCUGUCAUUCUGCGAUUCUGACCCUGUAUUUGAAAUCAUCUUCUAUUAUCCAAAGACAAUAUGUUGGGUAAGAUAAAUUAGUUUUGGUCCAGUAUCACCAAUUUAAUUUUCACUGUAUUCUCUAAGGAAUCACCUGCUCAAACCCCAUUGUAAUAUUCAAGUCUGAUUGUCCUAUCACUAACAACCUUCUAUCACUGAAGGAAUUGGAAGAGAAUGCUGUGACAGGUUAACCAAAGUGGAACUUACACACUGGGACUGUUUAAAAUUAUGGUAUUUGAAAAGAGUGCUGGAACAAGUAGAUUGUCUAUUGUUUGAUCUUACAUGUCAUUCAGGAUAUGUAUUCUGUAUAAUUCACAAGUAAUAGGUAUUAUUUAUAUAUUUGUCUAUUUUGGCUGAUAGCUGUAUUAUAUUCAGCAGAUGGCAAUGCAAUC